GUCUGGUCUGCCUGCGCCGGCACUCCGUGAAGCUGGUGACUUUCCUCGGCAAGGGAGGCUCCAGCAAGACCACAUCGGCAGCUGUUGUCGGUCAGGCCCAGGGCUGUUAUGAAGGCUGGGAGGCACUGUGAUUGUUGUUGUGCGUGUGGGUGUCGCAACAACAGCUGGAGCGAGCUCGUGAGCAGACACGUCGCUGGAAAGUUCAACCACACAUGACAUUAGAAAUGGAUGUUCCUUAUCAUACCAAAAGUG